GAGUUUGAUCCUGGCUCAGGAUGAACGCUGGCGGCGUGCCUAACACAUGCAAGUCGAGCGGAGCACAUACUUGGAAUCCUUCGGGAGGAAGAGGAUGUGGCUUAGCGGCGGACGGGUGAGUAACGCGUGGACAACCUGCCCUAUGCAGGGGGAUAACAUCCGGAAACGGGUGCUAAUACCGCAUAAGCGCACAGUACCGCAUGGUACAGUGUGAAAAGCUGAGGCGGCAUAGGAUGGGUCCGCGUUGGAUUAGGCAGUUGGCGGGGUAACGGCCCACCAAACCGACGAUCCAUAGCCGGCCUGAGAGGGUGGACGGCCACAUUGGGACUGAGACACGGCCCAGACUCCUACGGGAGGCAGCAGUGGGGAAUAUUGCACAAUGGGGGGAACCCUGAUGCAGCGACGCCGCGUGGGUGAGGAAGUACUUCGGUAUGUAAAGCCCUAUCAGCAGGGAAGAAAAUGACGGUACCUGACUAAGAAGCCCCGGCUAACUACGUGCCAGCAGCCGCGGUAAUACGUAGGGGGCAAGCGUUAUCCGGAUUUACUGGGUGUAAAGGGAGCGUAGACGGUGAUGCAAGUC
rnacentral:rRNA from 1 species